CCUUAGAGCAAGAGCCGUCAGAAAAUAGAGAAGGAAAAGCAAGCGUCACCGUCAAUCAAUCAGACGACUAGGUCCCUAAACCUGUACGGUACAAGAAUCUAAAGUAGUUCCACUCGAGCAGCUAAACAAAGAUUCUGAGGAGUAUGAACUGGUUUACAUAGAAGACCCUGAGGAUGACUUUUAUUAGCUUAGAUGAAUAGAAGUUGGC